AUUGAACGCUGGCGGCAGGCCUAACACAUGCAAGUCGAGCGAGAGGCGGACAGGGGAGUAAUGUGUGGGGGUCUGCCCGAGAGGGGGGGAUAACUACUGGGAACGGUAUCUAAUACCGCAUACUAUCGGAUGUACCCAUAUGGGAUUAGCUAGUUGGUGAGGUAAUGGCUCACCAAGGCGACGAUCCCUAGCUGGUCUGAGAGGAUGACCAGCCACACUGGAACUGAGACACGGCCCAGACUCCUACGGGAGGCAGCAGUGGGGAAUAUUGCACAAUGGGCGCAAGCCUGAUGCAGCCAUGCCGCGUGUAUGAAGAAGGCCUUCGGGUUGUAAAGUACUUUCAGCGGGGAGGCGUUACCGACAGAAGAAGCACCGGCUAACUCCGUGCCAGCAGCCGCGGUAAUUC
rnacentral:rRNA from 1 species